CUGUUACUUUGAGUUUGUUACUUUUUGUGUUGCCAAAGUGCUGGAUGGUUGUUUUGCUUUUGGAUUUACUAAUCGAGGUGGAGACAAGCCUGAGCUGUGUUAGGUCUAGGGAACGUGAGGGCCAGUCAAUGGCAUCAAUGCCUUUGUCAUCCAGGGAAUGCCUACACACCCGCGACCCUGUGCGCAGGAUAAGCGGUUGACGAUGGAUGGAUGGAAUGCCUACACACUCUGGCCACAUGAGGUUGGGCAUUGCACCAGGAGGAACCCAGGACCACUGUAAUAGACGGUGGGACGGAAGCUGGAGCAAACCCACGCUCUCUGGGUGCAAACUCCAUACAGCAACCGACCUUGAACCCCCGACCUUCUUGCUGUGAGGCGACAGCGC